rnacentral:rRNA from 1 species
GGGGCAGAGUGGUGUCUCCACCUCUUUUUCGUGCCCUCGUGCGGCCGCACUGUGGACCCUCCAGCUACACCUCCGCCGCCUAGUCUGCUCGGGCUGCUCUCCAGGCGGGCCCUUGACCUCGACGUCGCGGCGGCCGAAAAGGAGGGUUAAAGAAGCUCGCCUCGACCUCGCUACGGCGGCGGCCGCAGCAGCUCGACAGCUCCAUGGACGAGGAGAACACGUGGCACUAAACGGAAGAGUAGGUACAACCAGCGCUCCCAAAGACGGGGCGGCGGCCCUUCGGCACGCACCUCAGACGUAUGAUUCCACAACCCCUACGGUUUCUGUCUCUUCUUCCCGUUACCUCUACAGCUAAACAGCAACCAAUCUCUAUAUGGAAACUACUCUACUACUUCUACCUCUUCCUUCCGUUGGCUUUGCCCGCAUCUCUCCACCUAUCUUUCAUUAAGAUUUUUUAUGUCAUAAUCAGCGUAGUGUGCUAUCUCCCUCAACGAGCCAGGUAUGGGCAUCAACGAGUUUUUGGACUACGUAGCAAAAAAUAUGAACACAUAUAUUACGUAGAUAUAUACACACAAUGACGGUGGAUACAUACAACAGGAGAUGAACAAUAAAACACCAAGAAAAUAAUAAAAUGUGUUCCCAACGAACUAUAAUAACGUUCCUCGAAUAUCCCCAACGUUGGGGGGAAAAAUUACGG